UCGAAUUUUAUAAGCAAAGGUUGUAGCUGGCCCCCUUGGGGCAUGUGCACACCCCAGCUAUUAAAUCCACUUACACCUAUGUGAACCUAACGUGGGAGGCAUUCUUUCGAGAUGGCUCUCAUGAACUUCAUAUACCCUCCUGUAUGUCUUAGAAUGUUAUUUAUAAUAUCGCUUUGAUGCGAUUUUAAAAAAAUAUA
rnacentral:misc_RNA from 1 species